CUGAUAAUUGUUUGAUAUAAGUUAGUGUUUGUAAUGAGGAAAAUUAAUUUGCUCUCUAAUUAUUUGUAGAUGCAUGUAUUGAUCGAAAUAAUGGUUCUUAGUUGUAGUAGUCAAGCAAACAAAUGCUAUAUAUAAAUUUUCUAUGUUUAAGUUUAGGGCUUGUGGGUUGAAAUUUAGGAUGGAUCAAACAAACAAUAUUGAAAAACU
rnacentral:lncRNA from 1 species